GUGAAGGGGCAUGUGAGGGCUGUCGCUGACUCAAAGUCGUGCACGCCCGAGUGUGUCCUCUCACAUAAUAAUCCAUCUCACCCUUUGUGCAUCGCCGCGUGGGCACCCUUUGGGAUCAUCUCGGAGGGGGCUCGCGUUUUCACACAAACCCCCCUUUUAAAAGUGUAGAAUGACCUCAUUUAUGCGCUAACACGCAAUCAAUACAACUUUCAACAACGGAUCUCUUGGCUCUCGCAUCGAUGAAGAACGCAGCGAAAUGCGAUACGUAAUGUGAAUUGCAGAAUUCAGUGAAUCAUCGAAUCUUUGAACGCACCUUGCGCCCCUUGGUAUUCCGAGGGGCACACCCGUUUGAGUGUCGUGAAAACCUCAACCUCCUUGGUUUCUUCUGGAGACCAAAGGCAGGCUUGGACUUUGGAGGCCUUUGCUGGAACCUCUCUCUUUUGAAGGCCAGCUCCUCUUAAACGAAUUAGCAGGGUCCUCUUUGCCGAUCCUCGACGUGUGAUAAGAUGUUUCCAUGUCUUGGUUUCUGGCUCUGUCACUUUUGGGACCCGCUUCUAACCGUCUUGACCUUGCAUCGAGACAAUGUUCGAGCAUGUCUCCCUUCUCGGGAAGCUCCCUCGACCCCACGAACCCUUGACCUCAAAUCGGGUGAGACUACCCGCUGAACUUAAGCAUAUCAUAA
rnacentral:rRNA from 1 species